rnacentral:rRNA from 1 species
UGGCGAACGGGUGAGUAACACGUGACCAACCUGCCUCUUACAUUGGGACAACCAAAAGAAAUUCUGGCUAAUACCAAAUACUCCGCACAUAUCACAUGAUGUAUGCGGGAAAGCUUUUGCGGUAAGAGAUGGGGUCGCGGCCCAUUAGGUAGACGGCGGGGUAGAAGCCCACCGUGCCGAUGAUGGGUAGCCGGGUUGAGAGACCGACCGGCCACAUUGGGACUGAGAUACGGCCCAGACUCCUACGGGAGGCAGCAGCU